AUACGGAGGAUGCAAGCGUUAUCCGGAUUUAUUGGGUUUAAAGGGUUCGUAGGCGGAAAAUUAAGUCAGUGGUGAAAGCCUGCAGCUCAACUGCAGAACUGCCAUUGAUACUGAUUUUCUUGAAUUUAUAUGAAGUGGGCGGAAUGCGUCAUGUAGCGGUGAAAUGCGCAGAUAUGACGCAGAACACCAAUUGCGAAGGCAGCUCACUAAUGUAAUAGUGACGCUGAGGAACGAAAGCAUGGGGAGCGAACAGGAUUAGAAACCCUAGUAGUCC
rnacentral:rRNA from 1 species